AGCUGCAUUUCAGAUCUACAGUGGAAAAAAGGUACUCUCCUCUGCUAAAGGCAGAUCUACAAUUUUAAGUCGUUCUCUGUAGAAUAUUACUUUAUUCACUUCUGGUUUAUGCCAACAUAUGCGGAUUUAGUGUGUAUGUGUGUGUAAUUGUUCAAAACUAUAGAGUUUAACCAGAAUUUUUAGAAACAGCAAAGAAGCCAAUUAUAUAAUAGUUGCUUUUUGUUCCCUUGUAAGAUUUGAAAGCCAAAGCAAAACACUAACUUUUCCUCUUUUUUGUUUUGUUUUCUGAGCAGUGGAGUUUUGAAGCUAAGGAAAAAUGGCAGGAAAAGGAGGGAAAGGGCUAGUAGCGGGGAAGACAACAGCUGCAGCGGCUGCUAACAAAGACAAAGACAAGAAAAAGCAGCCUAUCUCUCGUUCUUCUCGUGCUGGCCU
rnacentral:lncRNA from 1 species